GAGUAUGGCGGCAGCUAACCAUGCAAGUCGAGCGGUAGCAGGGGGUGCUUGCACCCCGCUGACGAGCGGCGGACGGGUGAGUAACGCGUAGGAAUCUACCUGUUAGUGGGGGAUAGCCCAGGGAAACUUGGAUUAAUACCGCAUACGCCCUACGGGGGAAAGUGGGGGAUCUUCGGACCUCACGCUAACAGAUGAGCCUGCGUAGGAUUAGCUGGUUGGUGGGGUAAAGGCCCACCAAGGCGACAAUCCUUAGCUGGUCUGAGAGGAUGAUCAGCCACACUGGGACUGAGACACGGCCCAGACUCCUACGGGAGGCAGCAGUGGGGAAUAUUGGACAAUGGGGGCAACCCUGAUCCAGCCAUGCCGCGUGUGUGAAGAAGGCCUUCGGGCUGUAAAGCACUUUCAGCAGUGAGGAAAGGCGUGCGGUUAAUACCCGUAUGCUGUGACGUUAACUGCAGAAGAAGCACCGGCUAACUCCGUGCCAGCAGCCGCGGUAAUACGGAGGGUGCGAGCGUUAAUCGGAAUUACUGGGCGUAAAGCGCGCGUAGGUGGUUUGGUCAGUCAGAUGUGAAAGCCCCGGGCUCAACCUGGGAAUUGCACCUGAUACUGCCAGGCUAGAGUACGGUAGAGGGAAGUGGAAUUUCCGGUGUAGCGGUGAAAUGCGUAGAGAUCGGAAGGAACACCAGUGGCGAAGGCGACUUCCUGGACUGAUACUGACACUGAGGUGCGAAAGCGUGGGGAGCAAACAGGAUUAGAUACCCUGAUAGUCCACGCCGUAAACGAUGUCAGCUAGUUGUUGGGAGACUUGAUCUCUUAGUAACGAAGCUAACGCGAUAAGUUGACCGCCUGGGGAGUACGGCCGCAAGGUUAAAACUCAAAUGAAUUGACGGGGGCCCGCACAAGCGGUGAGCAUGUGUUUAAUUCGAAGCAACGCGAAGAACCUUACCUACGCUUGACAUCCAGCGAAC
rnacentral:rRNA from 1 species